GGAUGAAGAAUGGAAGAUGCUGGCAGAGCAAGACCAAGUAGAAGAAGGGAAGAGUGGUAACUUCCACCAUGAAAAUUUUUUACAUUACGUCACAACCAGUUACAUGGCUCUGCCCGACCACAGGAGGCUGGGAAAUGAAGGAGAGCAGGUGGAAUGCUCGCCGAGCACCACAGUCUUUGCCACAUUAACUGGCUUAUGCCUGCCAAAUCCUAAGUUGCCAGUGGCUUUGAGUACGUGACGUCCUGGAUCCUCC